UUGACUCCAAAACACUAACCAAGCUUCUUCUUUCUUCUCAAAGCUUUGACUGCGUAGCCGUCGUCCGUAUGAGUCUUUGUCUUUGUAUCCUU
rnacentral:sRNA from 1 species